rnacentral:rRNA from 1 species
GGCAGCACGGGUGCUUGCACCUGGUGGCGAGUGGCGAACGGGUGAGUAAUACAUCGGAACAUGCCUAGUUGUGGGGGACAACUACUCGAAAGAGUAGCUAAUACCGCAUGAUAUCUAAGGAUGAAAGCAGGGGACCUUCGGGCCUUGCGCAACUAGAGUGGCCGAUGGCAGAUUAGGUAGUUGGUGAGGUAAAGGCUCACCAAGCCUGCGAUCUGUAGCUGGUCUGAGAGGACGACCAGCCACACUGGGACUGAGACACGGCCCAGACUCCUACGGGAGGCAGCAGUGGGGAAUUUUGGACAAUGGGCGAAAGCCUGAUCCAGCAAUGCCGCGUGCAGGACGAAGGCCUUCGGGUUGUAAACUGCUUUUGUACAGAACGAAAAGCUCUGGGUUAAUACCCUGGGGUCAUGACGGUACUGUAAGAAUAAGCACCGGCUAACUACGUGCCAGCAGCCGCGGUAAUACGUAGGGUGCAAGCGUUAAUCGGAAUUACUGGGCGUAAAGCGUGCGCAGGCGGCUAUGCAAGACUGAUGUGAAAUCCCCGGGCUCAACCUGGGAACUGCAUUAGUGACUGCAUAGCUGGAGUGCGGCAGAGGGGGAUGGAAUUCCGCGUGUAGCAGUGAAAUGCGUAGAUAUGCGGAGGAACACCGAUGGCGAAGGCAAUCCCCUGGGCCUGCACUGACGCUCAUGCACGAAAGCGUGGGGAGCAAACAGGAUUAGAUACCCUGGUAGUCCACGCCCUAAACGAUGUCAACUGGUUGUUGGGGAUUUAUUUCUUCAGUAACGAAGCUAACGCGUGAAGUUGACCGCCUGGGGGAGUACGGUCGCAAGACUAAAACUCAAAGGAAUUGACGGGGACCCGCACAAGCGGUGGAUGAUGUGGUUUAAUUCGAUGCAACGCGAAAAACCUUACCCACCUUUGACAUGUACGGAAGUUUCCAGAGAUGGAUUCGUGCUCGAAAGAGAGCCGUAACACAGGUGCUGCAUGGCUGUCGUCAGCUCGUGUCGUGAGAUGUUGGGUUAAGUCCCGCAACGAGCGCAACCCUUGUCAUUAGUUGCCAUCAUUUAGUUGGGCACUCUAAUGAGACUGCCGGUGAUAAACCGGAGGAAGGUGGGGAUGACGUCAAGUCCUCAUGGCCCUUAUAGGUGGGGCUACACACGUCAUACAAUGGCUGGUACAAAGGGUUGCCAACCCGCGAGGGGGAGCUAAUCCCAUAAAGCCAGUCGUAGUCCGGAUCGCAGUCUGCAACUCGACUGCGUGAAGUCGGAAUCGCUAGUAAUCGUGGAUCAGCAUGUCACGGUGAAUACGUUCCCGGGUCUUGUACACACCGCCCGUCACACCAUGGGAGCGGGUUCUGCCAGAAGUAGGUAGCUUAACCGUAAGGAGGGCGCUUACCACGGCAGGGCUCGUGACUGGGGUGAAGU